rnacentral:rRNA from 1 species
AUUGAACGCUGGCGGUAUGCUUAACACAUGCAAGUCGGACGGUAGCCGCUUCGGUGGCGAGAGUGGCGGACGGGUGAGUAACGCGUAGGAAUCUGCCUGUUAGUGGGGGACAACUUAGGGAAACUUAAGCUAAUACCGCAUACGCUCCUUGUUGAAGGACGGGGAGGAAAGCGGGGGACCGCAAGGCCUCGCGCUAACAGAUGAGCCUGCGUGGGAUUAGCUGGUUGGCGGGGUAAGGGCCCACCAAGGCGACGAUCCCUAGCUGGUCUGAGAGGAUGAUCAGCCACACUGGAACUGAGACACGGUACAGACUCCUACGGGAGGCAGCAGUGGGGAAUUUUGCGCAAUGGGGGAAACCCUGACGCAGCAACGCCGCGUGAGUGAUGAAGGCCCUUGGGUCGUAAAGCUCUGACAGAGGGAAAGAAGUGUAUUGUGGCUAAUAUCCACGAUACUUGACGGUACCCUCAAAGGAAGCACCGGCUAACUCCGUGCCAGCCGCCGCUGUAAGAC